GCUUUCCUGGCUUAGUCGUUAAAAUAUCUGUCUGUGGUGCAGUAGAAUUCGGGUUCGAGCCCCAGUGAAGGCG